UUCCACUCCUUGAGUGUCACAGGGCCAUUAGCUUUCAUGAGAGUGCAGCUGUGAACUGCUGACUGCUUAGCGAUGAAGAGGAGGCAGCAAAACAUUCAGACAGACAUUUCACUGUUCCUGCUUAAGGGGUGAAGAAUCGUAUUGAUUUACUGCUGCCAACUGACAUGAACCAGAGGAGAUCAUCUUUAGCAGAAGGCCAGGAAAAGGAUCUGCUACGUAGAAAGUGCCAUUGCUUCUGGCUGCCUGCUCCUUGGUGUUUCUAGGUAAGGCAUCUCUCCCCUAGUAAUGUCCCAGCACAUGCCCACUCAGCAUGCAGUGCGUUCCUAGGUCAAAGCAGAGCCAGGUGCAUCUGCCUCGUGGCAGACAAUCGCUCUUCCCCAUUUCUAUCAUCUCACCAUGCCUCAAAAGACCAACAACGGUGUGCCUGCUGUACUUAACCUUUCCAAAAUAAUAGCAUCUUAAAUAUUUUAAAAAGUAUGCAAUAUUCAAGACAUCCAAAAAGAUGAAGAAUAAACAGCAUGGAGGAAGUGACCCAGUUACUGCAACAAGCAUGAAAAGAGAAAGGGGCUGGAAGGACACCCAAGGUUAGAGACCAGCAAGCUGAUGACUGAAUCGCACGCGUGGGCCGCAUCUGGAUCUCCUGGCAUGCGUGAUGCUAAGGAAUUAUUAUUUUGGUUAAUAGAAGUAACGACAUUAUGUUUUUUAAAGCUUAUUUUUUUUGGCUAUGUGUACUGCAGCAUAUCUCACAUUGUGAGAGAUUUGUUAUAGAGAAAAAGAACAAAGAAAAUGAAGCAAAUAUGGCAACAUUUUGAUAAUUGUGGAAUAUAUAAGAUGAAUGUGCAUGAGAUCAUUUCCUUAGCACCACUACUUUUGUAUAUAUUUGAAAAAAACUUGUAAUAGCACAUU